rnacentral:rRNA from 1 species
GAUAAACGCUGGCGGCGUGCCUAACACAUGCAAGUCGAACGUCCUUUCCUCGCAAGAGGAGAGGGAGUGGCGGACGGGUGAGUAACACAUGGGAACCUACCUUUCAGUGAGGAAUACCGGCGAGAAAUCGCCGACAAAACCGCAUGGGCUUGCUUCUUUUGGGGAGCAAGCAAAGUUUUUCUUUCGGGAAGGACGCUGGAAGAUGGGCCUGUGGCCGAUUAGCUGGUUGGUGGGGUAAGAGCCUACCAAGGCGACGAUCGGUAGCUGGUCUGAGAGG